CAGAGGGUGCAAGCGUUAAUCGGAAUUACUGGGCGUAAAGCGUGCGUAGACGGUUAUGUAAGUCAGAUGUGAAAGCCCCGGGCUUAACCUGGGAAUUGCAUUUGAGACUGCAUAGCUAGGAUGCGGAAGAGGGAAGUGGAAUUUCCGGUGUAGCGGUGAAAUGCGUAGAUAUCGGAAGGAACAUCAGUGGCGAAAGCGACUUCCUGGUCCAGCAUCGACGUUCAGGCACGAAAGCGUGGGGAGCAAACAGGAUUAGAUACCCUGGUAGUCCACGCCAUAAACGAUGAGAACUAGACGUUGAGAGGGUAAGCCUCCCAGUGUCGUAGCUAACGCGCUAAGUUCUCCGCCUGGGGAGUACGGCCGCAAGGUUG
rnacentral:rRNA from 1 species